rnacentral:tRNA from 1 species
GCCGUGGUAGCAAAAUGGUUAAGCGCUCUGUUGCUAAUCGAAAUGUUGGUGAUUUAAACCCACCCAACGGCC